GCGUGGUGGGUGUCGUGGUGACACCGGCCUUCUGGAACAGGUCCUUGCUGUACCAGAAACCGCCCGGCAGGAUCGAGACCGGCACCGCGUAC
rnacentral:tRNA from 1 species